UACAGAGGGUGCGAGCGUUGUCCGGAAUCACUGGGCGUAAAGGGCGCGUAGGUGGCGUCGCAAGUCGAUGGUGAAAGCUCGGCGCUCAACGCCGAGUCGGCCCUUGAGUACUGCGAGGCUGGAGCACUGUAGAGGCUAAUGGAAUUCCGGGUGUAGCGGUGGAAUGCGUAGAGAUGUGGAGGAACACCUGUGGCGAAGGCGGCAUCCUGGACCAACACUGACGCUGAGGAGCGAAAGCCAGGGAGCAAACGGG
rnacentral:rRNA from 1 species